AGUGAUAGCAACAUAGAUCAUUUCAAACUAGUUACAUCAGUAGACAUCACAAGUUACCUCAGGAGCCUAUGAUGUCUACUAAUAUAAACUAAUAUUCUCAACCUGAAUAUGAUAAAUUUGUAGCAACUGGAUUCGACACACAAUCGGAAAGUGAUAUUACCGGCUUUUCAGGCUGGGUUUCAGUUGCUUCUCGUGACACCAGAGCUAGCUCUGUAAAUUUAGAAUGUUGAGUGAUGGAGACAGCAACAACCUAAGAAUGCAUUAGUACUCCGUUUCAAGCACCCCAUCAAUGAGCCCGAACUCCACUGGUGCGGCUAUUUUCUUAGUCAAUGUUUGAAUUUGAACAUGAAAAGCUUGCUCGCCAAAUGUCGUGCAUAGGAUAAAAUCAAACCACUAAUACAAAAGAAUAAUGCUAUCUAGCUCCAAUUGUGCUAGAACACUAAUGUAUGUGGUGUUAAGUGAUAAGAUAAAUGAAAGGUAGAAUUAAGUUAUUAAUAUAAUUAUACUUCUGAUCUCUCAUGUAAUGCCACAUUAGUGUUACCUAGAUUGAUAUUUUAACAACAAUGAUGAUAAAUAGUAUUACUCUAUAUUAAAUAGAAGUGUUAAUCACAAUAAAGAUUUUUCAAGUUUACCUUCAACUCCAACUCCAGUUUGAUCAUUUAACGAAUCUCUUGUCAAUGAAGAAAAAAUCGUUUAUGAAACUACAUGAUCCUAAUUGUGACUACAUUAUAUCCUCAACCCUAACAUGAAUAAAUCGAAAAAUUGAUGUAUUAUGUCUUAGUUUGACUUAGCCAUUGUUCCAGUCCCAUUCUUUCCAAAAAAAUACAUUCUUAAACAGUGUUUUGAGAUCAUUUCAACCACACAUUUUUUCAUAAAAUAAUCUUACACGUAAAUCCAAAAUUUUUACUAUUUUUUAAUCACACAUUUCUCAUCAAUACACUAUUCAAAAAUUCAUUUUCUCCCAAAAAUGGGGCUCAAACAAGGUAUUAACAUAAAAACUUCCGAUUCUAUAAUGAGCUUCCUAAGUUCUAAUCAAUAGUUUAUUACCUAGCAGUCUCAUCGGCUAAAACUAUGUUAUCAACAUAUAUCAAGGGACCUAAUCUUUGAUACGUCUUGUAAGCUCAACAGUGCCUAAAUAAAAUAACUGACGUCUAAAUGUCUGUGGUACUUCUACAGAGACUAAUAGAGUACGUUCAAUGUAAAAGAGAAACUGACCUGGCGAGAUUGAACUGCUUCAUUCACUUGGCGCCUUAAAUCUUCAACGUGCCCCUAAAAGAAUAAGCAUAAUUAAACCCAACAUUUACAAAUAAAACUACCUUGCAUCAUAGCAUGAAUCUAAAGAUAAUACUUCAGUCUGUCAACAUGUGUUUAGGAACUCAUCCCCUGUAACCUGUUUAGACAUAUUUAACUGAGGAUUGUAUGGCUUCUCAUCACUACAUAACUAAAUGGUGAAUACGGUCUGAAAAUGGACUGAUGUUACAAAUAGCAAAAAUAACAGCAAAAUAGUAGCAAUGUAUACGGUCAUCAUGAUUAGGCAAUCCAAAGAUGAGACUUAACCAUGUCUACUAGUUUUGAGAUCAGGUGACUCGUCUGAGGCAUCGGUAAAGGAGGAACUACUGGACACUUCUUCAUAUAUUUGAAAGCCAGGGACAUUCAAAGUAAUAUCAGAAAACUUCCCUCCCAUCCUUUCUCUCCCCAACACACUAGAUUCUGCGGGUAGGAAGGCAAUGGGAAGAAAUGUUCCAGAAGACUAGCAAUUCUUUCAACCAGACAGAUGAAAAACACAACAGCAUGCUGCUAUAUUAAAAGAUUCUCGUCUGCAUAGGCCAUUUUUCAAGAGGAUUAAUAAACAAACCAACGGUUUUACUAAACUUAAAAUCUGAAAUCUUCUCUUCCACUAUGUUAUAUAGCCCCUGUUUGGCAGAAUUAAAAUCGAUUUUAAUCUAAGUCAAAGUCAACAAUUAAUUUUAACGGCAUAUUUAUGAGACCCACAACUUUUCAACCACACAUUUCAUCAACUUUCUUCAAAGUUUACUAAAAAUCUAAUUUUAAUCUCUACCAAAAAGAGGCAUAAUUUUUUCUGUGACAGAAUUGUCAAAAUGUGUGAAAUCUAAAAAUCAUUGACAAGCUA
rnacentral:lncRNA from 1 species